UUAAAAAAAAGAAAAAAAUUACAUAAGUAAAAAUAUUUAAAUACAAAUUACAUAUACAUACAGUACAUACAGUACCCAGUAUAACAGAGUACACCAUAAUUCUGAAAACAAAGCACCCCUUGUUUUAAAAAUAAUACUGGGAUUCUAUAGAAUUAGAUAUUUGUGCAAAUCUGUUUUACCAGUUUUACAUUACAUUAGCAUACCCAUUAGCAUACCCAAAUACAUAAGGGGAACUAAUCUAACAAAAUAUUUAUGUAAUUUAAUGACUUAAAAUAUGUGCACUACAAUAGAAAUUAAUUAAAUUAGUAGAUUUAAUUAAUGUAUUUAAAAAUUGGUCUUAAUUAUUUAUUAUUAAUUGGUCAUAAUUAUUUUUGCAGCACCUAGGCAAUUUUUAUGUAUUAUUUUCCUUUACUAAAUGACCACAUUUUUACGUUAACUAUUUUAUUUAUUGUUUCAUAGAAUCUGAAUUAUUGAAGAGGGAGGAAGGUGGGGGGUGCACUCAUGCUGGGCACUGUACUGUAUGUGUGUGUGUGUAUUUGUUCAUAUAUAAUUCAAAAUAUUAAUACAAAAAUCUAAAUUUGAAUUUGUGUGGAAGCCAAAAAAAAAUACCCCAAACACGUGUGAUAACUGGAAAACUGGAGCAUAAUUGGCAUGGUUACAAUUCUCAAAAUUAAUAAUAUUGUCCAUUGUUUUAGCAACUAACCAGAGAGUGAUCCUGUGUCUUGUCCACAACAAUCCUUUGUGGUGUUUGUUGGUCUGGACUGAGUGAAAUCUGCAUAUGGUUUGAUUUGGCAACCAGACUGACCUUAAUACAUCACUUUUGGGUCAAGUUUCAUGCAGACGAUCUCUCUUUGUUAAAUUCCAUACUGUACCUGCUGUAACAAGCAAGCAAAGCAACACUUCUACACUUUCACAAGUAAAGCAAGCUGCCAGGAGAGAGACUGUAAUUUGACCAACAUAAUAGAUCAUGACACCAUCUUGUAUCUCCAUCUCUCAACAUCAUGCUGAAAAACACAACCUUCGACAAUCCUGACGUUUGGGUCAAGUGACAAAACUGAUAAUCUCUCCUUGAAUAACAUGAAAAUGUUCAAUUAAUUCGAAAGAAAGCUCAAUAAAUGAUAAACUGCAAA